rnacentral:misc_RNA from 1 species
UAUGAAGAACGCAGCGAAAUGCGAUAAGUAAUGUGAAUUGCAGAAUUCAGUGAAUCAUCGAAUCUUUGAACGCACAUUGCGCCCCUUGGUAUUCCGGGGGGCAUGCCUGUUCGAGCGUCAUUUCAACCCUCAAGCUCUGCUUGGUAUUGGGCACCGUCCUUUGCGGGCGCGCCUCAAAGACCUCGGCGGUGGCGUCUUGCCUCAAGCGUAGUAGAAUACACCUCGCUUCGGAGCGUAAGGCGUCGCCCGCCGGACGAACCUUCUGAACUUUUCUCAAGGUUGACCUCGGAUCAGGUAGGGAUACCCGCUGAACUUAAGCAUAUCAAUAAGCGGAGGA